rnacentral:rRNA from 1 species
GAUGAACGCUGGCGGCGUGCCUAAUACAUGCAAGUCGAGCGAACAGACGAGGAGCUUGCUCCUUCGACGUUAGCGGCGGACGGGUGAGUAACACGUAGGUAACCUACCUAUAAGACUGGGAUAACUUCGGGAAACCGGAGCUAAUACCGGAUAAUAUUUCGAACCGCAUGGUUCGAUAGUGAAAGAUGGCUUUGCUAUCACUUAUAGAUGGACCUGCGCCGUAUUAGCUAGUUGGUAAGGUAACGGCUUACCAAGGCAACGAUACGUAGCCGACCUGAGAGGGUGAUCGGACACACUGGAACUGAGACACGGUCCAGACUCCUACGGGAGGCAGCAGUAGGGAAUCUUCCGCAAUGGGCGAAAGCCUGACGGAGCAACGCCGCGUGAGUGAUGAAGGUCUUCGGAUCGUAAAACUCUGUUACUAGGGAAGAACAAACGUGUAAGUAACUGUGCACGUCUUGACGGUACCUAAUCAGAAAGCCACGGCUAACUACGUG